rnacentral:rRNA from 1 species
GAUGAACGCUAGCGGCAGGCUUAAUACAUGCAAGUCGAGGGGGCAGCAAUGUUAGUGGCGCACGGGUGCGUAACGCGUAUGCAACUUGCCUUUAACUGGGGGAUAACGUUUCGAAAGAGGCGCUAAUACCGCAUAAUACAGUGAAGACACAUGUUUUAUUGUUAAAGCUCCGGCGGUUAAAGAUGGGCAUGCGUAGGAUUAGCUAGUUGGUAAGGUAACGGCUUACCAAGGCGACGAUCCUUAGGGGUUCUGAGAGGAAGGUCCCCCACACUGGUACUGAGAUACGGACCAGACUCCUACGGGAGGCAGCAGUAGGGAAUAUUGGUCAAUGGGCGCAAGCCUGAACCAGCCAUGCCGCGUGCAGGAAGAAUGCCCUCUGGGUUGUAAACUGCUUUUGACAGGGAAGAAAUCACUUAUGCGUAAGUGUCUGACGGUACCUGUAGAAUAAGCACCGGCUAACUCCGUG